CGGGCGUUCGGGGUCUCCGGGCGGUGGGCUGUGGCGGCGAGGAGGGAACAGGGCCGGGAUGGGCGGAGGCGGGGAGCGAGGAGCGAGUUUCCUCUCUUUGCGUGCAGUUUGGCUGAUCCCAGCUGCGUUUUGAGGAUGGUAGCCAGUGGAUACAAGGAUGGAGCUGUGGCCUUUGGUACCUAGGUGGUUUGAAGAUGGAUGGACCGAGGCUCUACACAUCACCUUCCUGUCCUUCCCCCUGCACCCCCACAUCCCAGACCGUCCAUAUUUCCUCUCUUCCCGCUGACCUUGUUUCCUUCAAAGGAGAUGAAGAAAUGAAACUUUGGGACAAGAAGUUUGUCACUUGCUUGAGGUAACCAUCUCUAAAGGAGAGAACCAAGAUUGGGCAGAACAAGAGACUGAACUCUGAUAAGGUCAAAACGGAGAUGCCAGUUGCUCUCACGGGGAGGUCCAGGGCUGAGGUGGCCUUUCAGGGUAUCACAAAUCGAGGCAAAGGAAUCUGGGCAUUUGCACUCCCCGUAGGAACCAGUCAUUGGAAGUGGGCUACCCCGGGGUGGGGGCGGACUUAGCCUUAGGUGUGGUACUUCCCUUUGGCCUAAGAGAAUUCCUGACAGCAUGGCGGCACAAGCCAUUAGAACCCUUCCAGCAGCGGGGGCAUGAGUGCCUUAAAGAGUCCUGAAAGAAGGAUCUGAGAAAUGUACCACCGUCUCCAUUAUGGCGCAACACUUAGGCCACUCAGAUGCACUUGCUUCUUGGAAGUGAACGCACACGAGAUUCUGGUUAGUCCUCUUGCUUGGAGAAACUUACAAGAGGAAGAUCGGUGAACAAAUUACAGAUCGCUCUCGACAGCAGCUUUUCGCGGUGCUGCGACUGAUACUUAGCCGCCACACUUCUACCAUCCCAUCCUCGAUUCCCUUCACCCAUAACUACGAGGGUGAGGUCUGGUCUGGAUCCUCACCCCUGAGGAGUCUGAACAUCUGGCCAAUAGGCCCUUCUCAGGAUAUAGCUGCUACGUUUAUUUAUCAAAAACAAACAAAAACCUGGGGUAAGAGACAUGCCAAAGGAUUGCCUGAGUGCCAAAUGUCCUCUGCCCUUACUGUGUAACAGAAGCCCCACAUCAGCUGGCAUAGGGUUACCUAUGCAAUCAUAAAGCUCCAUGGGACCCUUACUUUGCUGGUAAAAAGCCCUCUGGUAACUCGGGCUUUUAGGUUAUUUUUGUGAUUUCCUCCCAAGAGUCCCCUGACCUACCUUAUAUGAAGAACACGUGUGAAGGCAACUGUUCUAGACUACGGGUGGGAGCAUCAGUGCUUUGACGAUACCCAGAUGGCACAGCGGCUGCUACAAUUCAGGGGUAGGGAUGUUAAUAGAGCCCUGGCCUUACCCGCUACUGGGUACCAACGACUUCUUGUGGUUUUCCUCCAUCCUGUCCACAACUCUGUGAGUAGCCUCUUUAUGAAAACUCUACUUGAAGUGUCCUAGUCUGUGUCAGUUGCUUCCUGCUGGGACUCUGACUGGCAUGCCAGCUCAUUCAAAGUAUAAGAAAAAGUCCUAAUGGGACAAUAAAAUCCAACAAGAUCAAGAUCCACCACGUCUCUGACCACAUCAUCCUCCAUCACACCCUCACUACACCCCCAGCUCGUUCUACGCUCAUCUCGUUGGCUGCUCUGCGGCGGGACUUUGCAUGCCAAGCCUGCUCUUGCCACACACAUUGACUCACUGUGCCAACUCGUUAAGGUCUCUGCUCAAGUGUCCCUUGGCUAAGAGGCCUUCCCUUCCUAUUUUAUAUACAACGGUAAGAUCCCAAUCCCCCCUUAACUAUUUUAUCAUGCUUUGCUUUUCUGAUCAACACUUAAAACAGCAAGUCUUAUUGCUUUUUCUAUAAUCUGUCUUCCCCCAUUAGAAUGUAAGUGCUUCAAUAGCAAAACGUACAUUUCAUGCAUUGCUAUAAACACCAGUGUCGCAAACAGUGCCUGGCAUAUAGAAUAUACUCAGUAGAUAGACUAGUGGUUAAGAGCACAGAUGGGGUUCAAACCUGGGCUCUACUAUUUACUAGCCAGUGAGUUCAGGCAAGUUACCAGUAUAUCAUGUUAGUUUUCUCAUCUGUAAAAUGGGAAUAAUAAUAGUACAUACUUCUUAAGCUUAUACUGAGUACUCAAUAAGUUCGUAUUUUCAUAAGGCAUUCAGAAAAGUGCCUCAGCUAUAGGAAGGGCUACAUAAAUGUUUAGUCAUUUAUUAACGUACUGAAAUACUUCAUUAUAAAAAAAUGACCCCUAUAUAAAAAGGAACAAUUCACAAGGAAAAAAAACUAAUCCUGAGUGUAUUUAGUUAUACAUCCAAAUAUAUAAAGAAAAAAAUGACAGAAAUGACAAAAAACAAAAACAAAAACAAAACAAAACCCCGUUAAUCCAUAUCCUUAGAAGAAGACUUUAAUAGACAUCUACCACUAAAUAAGUUUGAGGACAAAAACCUGAAUGUACAUACUAUAUCUGAAAACACAAUUAACUUGAGUUAAUGGGCACAUAGUCUACAUCGAAAACUUAGAGAAUAUACAUUAUUUUCAAAGAAACAUGGAACACUUAUCAAAUGGGAUCAACUAAUAGGUUUCCUAGUUAGAUAUUGCAUUCGGCUGGACAUGAACAGAACACUACCUCAAAAACAAACCCCCCGAGAAAAAGACUUUGGCUUCAACCAGUUAGAGGUUACUUUUAAUCAUGUAAGGAGUAGUUUGGGCAUAAGCAGUCCAGAGCUGAGACCGCCAAUCAGAGGUCCGGGGGGAGCCCAUGUCACUGUCAUUUUAUGCUGCACUAUGGUGUCUGGCAUCACGAUCAAAAUAGAGUGCUUCCGACUCUUGGCCUUGAGUCGACUUUCAAGAGAAAGCACGGGUAAGACGAACAGGAUACAGGUGGGGAACGAGCCAGAUGGUGUUCUUCCCAGUGACUUCUACCUACUCCUCAUGGUCAGCAGAGCCAGGCAAUACCUCUCUGGGCCUCAGAGAAGCCUUAUAAGUUGCGCAUUUUUAAUCCUGCUCAUUGACAACUUGAAUGACAACAAAAACAUUUUUUACGUAAAUGAGUGGGGGACGAUGGGCAUUGGGAAAGAAGCUAAACAAAAUGCCAUACUAGAGGAGAAAGAUAAAAAACAAUUAGCAUCGUAAAGUCCGCUUACCUGACAAAAAUGCCAUUAAACUAGAAAAAG